AGUGUUAUUUUGGUGAAAGCACAUGUCUUGAGAACUGUGCUUCUCCAGGAGAAGAGUAUGUUUGUCCAUCUGAUGCUUCGCAUAUCCAGAUGGUCUUUCCUUUUAGUUAAGGAGUCAGGCUGAGGACUCAACCUUGUCCUUCAUUUUGGGUAUCAUUAAUUCCCUCCUUUCUCCAUAAAAGUCCCUUCCAGAAUCCUCUGUCUUCGGGACAGAUUUGGAUUUUGCUCUCUAGACCUGCACGGCAAUCCUGGAUUAGAACUUCUGUUUCCAAGACCCUGUGCCCUCUUCUCUCUUGUUUUUCUCUCUUACAAGUUCCUGAAAAGGGAUGCUUAGGAGAUUAAAUUCUGAAAAAAUAAGUCUUUAACCCUCACACAUGAGUGAUGGUUACUAGAUACACAAUUCUAGAUGGAAAAUUAUUUUUCUCAGGAAUAUUUUCUAUAAUUUAAUUUUAGACUUAAUACUAUUAAAUUCUCUCGUGAUAUAUGCGGUGUUGCCUUUUUAAAAAAAAAAAUCAUUGAACAUUUUCAGUUUAAAGAGUCAUGACCUUGUUCAGUGCCAGAAAAUUUUCUUCUUUUUUAAAAUAAUUACUUUGUCUUCAUUUCCUCUGUCCUCUUUUUCUGAAAUUAGUCAGAUUUUGAGCCUCUUGGAUUAUUUCUCUUGUAUUUUCUUAUAUAAUUUGGAGCCCUUUGCCUUUUAAUCAUAUGUUCUGAAAGAAUUCUCUAGUAUCCAACAUUUAUUUUCCCCCAAUUUUUCUGUGACUUCCAUGCUCCCACUACCAGGGGCCCAAGAGGGUAUCAUCUUUUGAAAAGAAAAAAUCUGGAGCUCUUUCCUUUCGCUGCUGCGGCCGCAGCCAUGAGUAUGCUCAGGCUUCAGAAGAGGCUUGCCUCUAGUGUCCUCCGCUGUGGCAAGAAGAAGGUCUGGUGAGACCCCAAUGAGACCAAUGAAAUCGCCAAUGCCAACUCCCGUCAGCAGAUCCGAAAGCUGAUCAAAGAUGGGCUGAUCAUCCGCAAGCCUGUGACGGUCCAUUCCCAGGCUCGAUGCCGGAAAAAUACCUUGGCCCGCCGGAAGGGCAGGCACAUGGGCAUAGGUAAGCGGAAGGGUACAGCCAAUGCCCGAAUGCCAGAGAAGGUCAUGUGGAUGAGGAGAAUGAGGAUUCUGCGCCGGCUGCUCAGAAGAUACCGUGAGUGUAAGAAGAUUGAUCGCCACAUGUAUCACAGCCUGUACCUGAAGGUGAAGGGGAAUGUGUUCAAAAACAAGCGUAUUCUCAUGCAACACAGCCACAAGCUGAAGGCAGACAAGGCCCGCAAGAAGCUCCUGGCUGACCAGGCUGAGGCCCGCAGGUCUAAGACCAAGGAAGCACGCAAGCGCCGUGAAGAGCGCCUCCAGGCCAAGAAGGAGGAGAUCAUCAAGACUUUGUCCAAGGAGGAAGAGACCAAGAAAUAAAAGCUCCCCUCUUUGUCUGUACAUACUGGCCUCCGUGACUACAUAGAUCAGCUAUUAAAA